rnacentral:lncRNA from 1 species
CACCUAAGAGAUUCACAUCUCUGGAAUUUUUGUAUCUUUAGAUGCACUCAAGCUUGUUCUGGAUUGAAAAAUGACAGUACUACAUCUUAGCCUGACCACAGAAAUGAAAUGGUCAGCAGAGGGCGUGCUCGUGCCACUUUUCGUGCUCGCUUGAGUCCAGUGGCGCACUGAAUGUCAUGGCUGUAAAGAGGCAGGGCUGGGAGGCAGAGACACACCACACAGGUCUCCUCGCAGGGCUGGACUGGUAAUCUGGCACAUUGGACAUUAGCUGUGGAGAAGUGCAGGAGAGAGAGCAGUGCCAACAACAGAGCGAAGAAGAGGAAGGUGAAAUUAAUCAGGAAGGGAGAGAUUCAAGGAUUCAGUCUCAGCUGCUUGGCAGAGAAGGAGGCAGUUCACAGCCAGUCUGCGGUGGAAAUAAUCACUGCGUUUCCUACUGUAAACUGCAGUUUGUUAUCAGUUGUUGAUUGCAUUGAAGAGAAAGGCGCACUGUGAGGACUGCACCAGCCUUAUUAGAGAGGAAUAUUUCUUCUUGUAUAUUUUUUAUAACUGUUACCCUGUGACCCUGGCCUUGCACAUUUACAGAGAAACAGGCAGUUUGAUGGGAAAUGAGGCUGACAUUAUUAGAAGUUUUGUAAGUGAGGGUGGAGCAAGAAAAGCUUGCUUCAAAACAUGAUGAAGGUUAAUGGGCAAAGCGACCUUUUUAACUCCAUGUGUGUAUGUUUUGAGUGCACAUUGAGCUACAAUUAGAUUUCCACAUACAGUGGUGUGAAAAAAUGUUUGCCCCCUUCCUGAUUUCCUGAUUUGUCACACUGACAUGUUUCAGAUCAUCAAACAAAUUUUAAUAUUAGACAAAGAUAACCUGAGUAAAUACAAAAUGCAGUUUUUAAAUUAUGAUUUCAUUAAUGGAAAGCUUAUCCAAACCUACUUACCUUGUGUGAAAAAGUAAUUGCCCCCCUUGUUAAAUCACAACUUAACUGUGAUUAACCACAUUUUUUGGAAAGCUGAGUUUAGUUUCACUAAACACGCUCACCCAUCUAAAAGGGAAGCAGGGUAAGAGAUAUCAAAAAGCAACACAACAUAUCAAGAUCCAAAGAAACACCUAAGAAACAAAGUCAUUGACAAUUAUCAGUCUGCAAAGGGUAAAAAACCCCAUUUCUAACGCUUUAGGACUUCAGUGAACCACAGUGAGAGCCAUUAAACACAAAUAAAGAAAACUCGGAACAGUGGUAAACCUUCCCAGGAGUUACGGCCUAUCAAAAUUACUACAAGGAGGUCACCCAGGAGGUCGAACCCACAACUACAUUAAAGAACUGCAGGCUUUACCUCAGGUGGGACAUCAGGAGAUUUGGCUGUUUUUAAAUUUCAUCCUUAACUAAACUGAAUCUUGUUAUUCAGAUAAGUGAAGCGUUACAUUUCACUGUGCUCCUUUGUAUAUUUUUAUAACUGUUAC